rnacentral:rRNA from 1 species
UACAGAGGUCCCGAGCGUUGUUCGGAUUCAUUGGGCGUAAAGGGUGCGUAGGCGGCGGGGCAAGUCUGAUGUGAAAUCCCGGGGCUCAACCCCGGAACUGCAUUGGAUACUGCCUUGCUAGAGUACUGGAGAGGGAACUGGAAUUUACGGUGUAGCAGUGAAAUGCGUAGAGAUCGUAAGGAAGGCCAGUGGCGAAGGCGAGUUCCUGGACAGUUACUGACGCUGAGGCACGAAGGCCAGGGGAG